rnacentral:lncRNA from 1 species
GCAGUUAUUUUUGUUAUUUUAGCUUGUUUCCCUGUUGGGAUAGGAAUUCUGACUUAGUAUUUGUUUUCCUUUUCCAACUAGGUUUAGGUUUUUGCCUUACACUAUAAAUAAGGCCUUAAAUUCUUAUAUCAGACACUUUUUGUUUUUUUUGACAAAUUUAAUUCAGAUUUGCUUUAUGCAAAUUUCGGCCUUCUUUGAGAGAGUGAGAGUUUGCUUCUUUCAUUGAUUGCAUCACGAAUCAGACCAACUUAUCAAUUUCGAUUGUGGCGUUCUUCUGAUCCGUU